UCUAACAUUCCGGAUAUGCCUGUUGGUCGUCGAAAAUCUAGCGAACUUUACAGACAGAACAAUGCCCUUCGGAUUCCGAGUUGAGUGGAAUUUUAGGUCUAAAUCCGGCAGGGUCAUAAAAAGUGCUUAUUACAUUAUCACCUCAAGCGUGGCUGAGCUGGCUGUGGGCAGUGCCACGCCCACCCGCACACACACUGGCCCGUCCACAAAACGCAAUUCACUCUCUCCUUCUCUCUUUAUCAAAGGAACUGUGUGUGUGUGUGUAAAUGCCCUUUCCUUCGAAGGAUAUUACGAUUCUUGCAUCUGCUUUGUCUACUUCAGAUCUUCCGAGGAGUUUGCCCUUACAUGAUUACAUGAUGCGUAAUUCAGAGCUUAGGACUAAUCUGAAAUCUAGAAAUCUGUAAAUAGAUCACCUUUAUACCUGUAUGCAUGAUUCUGAACCAUAAUCUUUUAAUUUUAUGUUUUAUAAGUCGGCAUUGCUUUGAAGAUGUAUUCCUAAAAGGUUUGAUCUUAAGAAGCAUAUCACAAGUUGAUCUGAUUAAACAUUAGAUAUGCUCCUACUAUACAGAAUAAGAAAUAAGAAUUAUUUCAACUUAAGUAUUGAAUUCUAAUCUAUUUAAUGGUUUCUAGAGCCAACUGUUGAUAUCUCAUUAUAUUUUUGCCACUGGCUUUAUCAGUAUUGAAUUAAAUAUAUUCCCCCAAAUUGAUUUAGUAAAUAAAAAUUAAAUUUACAACCUGCUAGAGUAUUCUGAAGUUCAGUGGCCGCAGCUGACUCCCCUUUUCUCGGUUUUUGCUGCGUGUUUGGGGGCUUUAUUAUGGCCCUGGCAGCUGCGUUUUUCAAUUUUCGCUUUUUUAGGCCUGCAAACUCUCACCUGAGCUCGUUGAGCCCUGAGCCUUGAGCCGAUUUGUUUCGGUUCGGUUUGGUAUGGUUUGGUUUGGUUUGGUUCAGUUCGGUCGCUUCAGUUCAUUGGCAAAUGUUUCGUAGCUGGAAAACGGAGGAAAAUUCGGAGGAAAAACGGGGCGGAAUCUGGUGCAGAAAUGCGAAAAAUGUGUAAAUUUGCGCCCGCUUUUAUUUUUCGCAUUUGGCCCGGAUGAUGUGUAGCGGCUGAUCCGCUUUGGCAACGCUCCCAGACUUCUCGCCAAUCGAUUUCGAUUUGGGAUCGAUGGAGAGCAGGCGCAGCUGUAAACCAUUUAGCCGACGAUGCCGUAGACGUUUAGUAAAUAUUCAAUCAAUUUGGAUGGACAAUAAAUCACCAGGAAAUCAAGAGCGUCUCAAUUUCUCCGAACAGAUAUGCGUCAUAACAAUAAAAAAAAGAAGCAUCCCAUUUCCCGCACUUUCCCCCAAAGUGCGGCAAAUAAACAAGACAAGGCGACAGGCCAUAAUAUAUCAUGGCCCCAAGGCGCCUGACGACACGACACGAAGAUGGAGAGUCAGCUUCGAAGGACACUGAUGCGUAAUGGCUGCCAGGGGGAUGACAUCGAUCCGGAGCUCCGUCUCCUUAACUGCAAAUCAAUGACAUAUAUUUACGGCAAAUGCGUUUGCCCGCCGGGGCCACAUGGACGGGAAUAAUAGGUUGGAAUAAAGUAAUAACCCGAAUAAUAGCAUAUGUCGGCGGAGCCAUUACCUGCCGCUAAUUGCCGGACAAACUUCUCCUGUCGCCGCCUAAGCCGGUCGCCAAUUAAAGCCAAACAAAUGCCGCUUGGAGUGCUAAAAGCCCUCAAUCCGGAUCUCACGGCUCCCGAGAGCCAGCCGCAAUGUAAGUGCGGCUCAUAAUUUAUUUCGAUUACGCCGCAGCACGCAAUUUGCGCCGGGCACAUCCUUUUCAAGCACACGGACACGCACAGGAAGUGAGAUAUCCAGGAGCACCGGGAGUGCGAGUGGAGCACCAGGGCCAGAGAUAAGUGUGCGCUGCGCGCAAUUUCCGUUUCCGCUUGGUUUGCCCUUAUCCAGCGCUGAUGCUGUGAAAAUCCACUAAGCAACAAUUAAAUCACAGACUCUCGAGAGCAACUCGGCAAGAUAAAAGCGUAGAACGCAGCAUAAACAAUGUAAGGAAUCGUCUACGAACUUAACCAACUAUCGGAAGAUGCUGUUAAACUAUACUAAAAAUAGUAAACGUUUUCAUGAAUCGAUUUGGAAUGUCUUAUAAUAUCCAUUCUUAUAUGACGAAUCAAAGCCCGCGCUGCAGGAGUGACUCAGAGGCAUUAAUUUGAGGAUUGGAGGACAGAAACAAAGACAAAGGCUACCUGAAGUGAAUCAUUCCCAAUCGUUUCCAUGCAGGUAACAAGAGGCCGCCAAGCAUUACCAUUAGCUGACUAAUCGGUGCCUUCAAGAGUGGCCGCUCCAGUCCGUGGCACUCCAGAAGCAGACCAAAAUCGAUUCCGCUUUAAGCGUUUGCUCUUUACGCUUAGAAGUUAUAAAUAUUUAUGGCGCACAUAAUGCAGCGCGUUGAGCUUGGCCAAUAAUUUCUCCGCUUACAGCUCUGCGAUAACUGGGAUCCCAGGCUAAAUGUCGGGAUGUGUGUGUGCUCCAGAUGCAGCGAAGCGAGCAUUUUCCACUGAAGGAUUUAUGCUCGCUGACAUGCAACUUAAAAGCAAGGACAACAGCGAGAGAUAGCACUAUGGGAUGAAGGGGGUUGAGGAGCGGGAUGCGGACGCAAGCAGCGGCAAACUUUUCUUAUGCGGGAUACUUUUCUUGUGCAGUCGGAACAACAAUCGGCGAAGCGAUGCUGAGCACAAGGAUUAGGCCACAAGGAGAAUGGGAGUCUGCAGCAGAAAGGAGCCGAAAUUUAUGUGACUUUUGCAUGUGGGCUGCAGGAUGCAGGAUGUGGCUCGCACUGGCUAGACAUUAGUACAAUUUCCGGUCCAAGCCACAAAAUAUUCAAUAAUAUAUUAAAGAUAUAGCCAGCAACCCGAAAGAGAUAUCACACAAAAGGCAAGGAGCAGGGAAAACCGGCAGAUACAGGCGCACACCAGCAGGCACGAAUUCGACAACUCAACUGAAGCGUAGCAGGCAGGAUAAAUCUAAAUAAGACGUGCUUCGACUCCCGCCUGGCCUACUCGUUCUGCUCCUCCUCCUGCCCCUGCUCCUCCAUCUUCUCUAUUCUGCGGCAAGGUAGCUGGAGCAUGCAACAUCAGCCAGAGAAUUUGUGCAAUGAAGUGCAAGUGAACUUAAAGGGACUAAAGAUACUCCCAACUACCUGACCACACGAGAGAUGAGCACGUGAGGCGGAUGAAAAUGCGGAGUCCAAACACGAAUCACAGUAAUUCAAGUUGCUAAUCAUUAUUAAGCCACCGAAUAAGUGCAGUUAUAUAGCACCCAAUUUGGCUAGACUAUAAAGAUUAAAUUUUUGAUACCAAGAUUUAUUGCUAAAUGAAUUUAUAGCUAAUCACAACUGAAGUGCAUUUAUAAAAAGAUAUGACGCAAGGUAGUAUUAGACAUUACCAGUGAUCUAUAAAAGUGCAACAUGCAAUUAAUGAGGUGAAUCGAUUUAAAAACUAUUAAGAUAGUAGUUAAUAUAUUUAUCGUUUGAUGACCUAACAAAAGUUAAAGGAUCACUGAACCCACAAAAAUGUAAAUAACAUUUGAUACAAAAUGAUCUGGCUUGGCUCACGAACUCAUAUCCCCUCGAACUCCCUUCAAACAAAACGGAAGUGCCACUCGAUUCCCUGGAGCGGAAGUGGAUAUGGGGGCUACCGGAGGAAGCAGCCAGGUUUAUGGGUAUAUGGGGUUCGUUCAAUAAAUUUCAGCACUCUUAAAUUGGCAAUGCGCUGCACUUUCAGUGGCAGUGGCAUGCACCGAUGUCCAUGGCGUCCAGUGCGGAGUCAGUAGUCAUGGGUCCGUUAAAGCGGGCCCGGUAAAAUUGAUAAUCAAUCAAAUGCGGCGCUGACGCAGCCAGGCACUUAAUCACUGUCUGGUUAUCCUUUUUGUUUCGCUGGCUUAACUUUUAUCAAUUACGCCUUUUGGCGACUGACAGAGAUGAAUCACGGGAAAUCAGCAAUGCAUCGAGAGAAGUUGCUUACCCCAACGGCCGACUAUCUCUUUAUUAAUUCAAUUAACGUUGCUCUGCCAAUUGGUGUGGAAUUAGCCGGCGACUCAAGUCAAAAGCCUUUGGAUCAGGUGCGGCUUAUGGCCCCAUAAUCAGCACACUUCUGUGGUUCCUGGGCAUGGUCAAAACCAAGGUAACUUUCUGAAACAAUGUUACAUUGCCUGCCAAGUGCACAAAUGCAAUUUUCAUGUCUCGGCUUCGAAUAAGCUGGCACAACAGUUGCUCUUGAGGCAUUGUUCAAUUAAUAAAAUGUCCGAGUGCAUUGAAAGCAACCGCAGACCGAGAUGCACUUUCCCCACUUUCGCCCCUCAUCUGUUGACGAUGUGGUCGAGAAAAGUGCAAGUUCAAUCAGCAGCUGCAAGCUGCAAACUGCAAUCGAGAGUCAAGAAUCGAGAGUGGAGACCACAGCAGGGUGUCGCCUCCGCCUGAUUCAAUUACACAAGAGCCCGUAAUCAAAGCAAAGGAAAUUUGCCUCUAUUAUUUCGCUUGCAUAAAUCACUAAGAACGAAGACCUUGAAAAUUUACAAAAGCAAACAGUUGAUACCCUGUUUCGACAGGUACGCCAAAAAAUAAGUAGAACAUGGCAAACGGCACUGAUAUACCUCAAAAUGAAAGAGCAGUUGCGAGUUAUGAAAAGUCCUCCGUUUGAGUCAAAGACAAAGGCAAACACGGCUACCAACACAAAGGCUGCCCCCAGACAGGAGUCAAAUAAUUAAUGGCCAACCGGGGAAGGCAAACAAACAAGCUUAAAACGAGCAAAAACACAACAGAAGCUGAACCGAAACGAACCGAAAGCAGAAAAAAUCUCGAGAGGAAGGUCAACUGUUUUGAAUACACUUCCUCGAAAAAGGAAGUUCCAUUCAUGAGCGAUUAAAUGUCAAGACAAUCACAAAUUGGCUAAACGAUUUUUGUUGAUUGUUUUUAAUACGUAUUUAUAAAAUUUAAAAAUCAUUUGAGGGUUGUUAGGAGGAUUUCACUGCUGGUGAAAUUUAACGUAGUGACGAAGCGCACCCGAAACAGCAAAGUUAAUGUUGUGAGUGUUAUAUAUAUUAACUUAAAGGAAUAAAACAGAUAUACCUUUAGCAAGGGCAGCGAAAAAGGCGAGUCAUGAGCGGAUUUGCAUGAGCGAAACGCGGAGUUCGGCGGGAAAAGGAUACUGGGCUGGAGGAUCAUGUGUGUGGGACUGGCGGCCACGUCGGUUGCCUUGGAUGCCGUCAGUAGCUUGUUAUGCACUGUCCUCUCCAGUGUUCCCGUGGUUGUCUAGACUUUAAGUUGGCUAAUAGCCGACACUGGCGCUUUUUUUAUCUCUUUGAUUGUUAUGAUAUGGUAUGUGGACCGAGGGCUUUGGUCAGAAAGCCGGAAAUUUGUAGUCAACCGAAUUUGCGCUCUUGUAUUACUUAUUUGGUCCAUUAUUUGUGCGCUGCUUGGCUUUCGCUUUUAUUUGACUUUGGCCUUUUGUGCGACGCUUUUUGUGGCCCCAAAACGAACCCUGCACUUGAUAAUGAAAUAUAUAAACGUGGCUUCUAUGCGAGAGUGGGUAAAAAUCCGUGGGCAUAAGGCUUAUAACACACACAGGAUGCAGGACAUAGGGCGCAGGACUUCCGGACAACCAGGGAAGCAACAGGGAAAGGACUUUAUACUGUAUACGGGGUGCGAGAACUGAACACAGAAACUCGCUGCGAGAAAUCAUAAAUUAAUCCGAUUUAAGCAGCUCAGUAGCUUAUUUUUAUGCCAACCAACUCCGAACCAGCAGUUUUUGUUGCUCGAUGAAAGCGGUGGUAGAUUCACUCCUGGCCAUGUCAUGUGUUGCAUCCUGAUGAGUUGCGGCAGCAUUUAAAGGAGACCAAUUUGUUUGGCACUGGCUCAAGAGCCAGGAAGCUGACAUGAUUGGAUGCUGACGAUGACUAAGAUGAUGAUUCGUUGUCAAGGUAGAAGAGCCCUCGACUGUCAGUGCUCAGUUGGGCAGAGUGGCGCAGUUCAUUCGAGUUCGUUCGGGGCUUAGUUCCGCUGCACAGCUUGUGUCCUGGCAGCCAAGGAGCUCAGCUCGGCACAGCGAAAAAUAGCCUAGCAACGUUUCAUCAGCAUGGCAUUCUUUUACGGGCAAAAUGAUCUAUGAACGUAUACUUGGGAUUUCAUUAGCUUUCUCAAAAUAUCUUUAAUUGUGUGAUAUAUAUACUGGUACACAAAAGAAGACAAAUCCCUUUUCAUUGGAUAUAAGUUAGGGUUUCGCUUGAACUAUAUAAAUAUAACUAAUUAAAGUUAAACUUUUUAUGUAAACAUAGUAUAUGACGUUUCUUCCUGUGUGGCUCAUUACGAGCAAAGUUUUUACGCAAAAUCCUGCGGACGAGGAUGCGGCUUAAGUGCGCCAUUCCAAAUUCAAUUGGGCUUGAAGUGUUCGAAAGGCAAAAGGCAUCCAGCCAGGAGAUGUCGCACCGCCGCGAGGCGGCUCAACUCAUCUUGGCUAGAACUGUUUGGAUUUAUGGGCGGAAAAACGAGAGAGUGGCCAACAAAUGAUUGAGAUUUAGUUGGCUUAAUUUUUCGUUGUGUAAUCCAUCAAGAUUUCCAUUUCAAAUUGCGCAUGCUGGAUGAUUUUCGCAUAAAUUCCAAACCAAUUUGCUUAGUCCUUUUUUCACAACCAUUAAAUGCCAGUCCUGUUGCACUUUUGGCCAACAUUGUUUCAAGUGGCUGCGUUGAUAAUUGUUAAUUGACAGAAGCGCUCGAGUUUAGCCCAUUUAAAUUAAUCGAAACAGCUCAAUUCCGUGAUAAUCCGCACUGGCUGUGUGAUGUUUUAUUUAUUUUCUGUUUUAAAUAGCCCAGUGCAGCUCGGAAAAGAGAGAAGCCGCAUAGCAUUGACACAAAUCCACAGCUGUUUAAAUAGAAAUUGCGCAUUUAGCGCUGGCCACGCCCACCCCCACGUACCGCCCACUCGAAGCCGAAAACAAACAGAUAAAAAGAGCGCACAGAAUUCGUGUUAUUUUCGAACGAACAACAAUAUUUACAAAUUCUUUUCGGGGGACUUUGCCUCAGCUAUCAAGCCCCAAAUCAAUAAUUCCGAAUUAUUGGGGCAUUGUUUUGGUCCCAAUAAGUAAA